UCUAAUUGGAGGUGGCCUCACCUGGUAUGAAUCAUCCUAAUUGGUGCUGGGCUAUAUAUCUCUAAGCCCUUGGUGCUUGAAAGUUAGUAAGCUUUUUCCACCUCAACAAGGUAUAGGAGGAAAGGCUGCCUCCAUAAAGAUUGGAUCAUUGAGCUGUUGUUGUUUGAGCUCAGGGAGGAGGAAAAGUGAAUAUUCCAGUUCUCUGAGGAAGGACUAAUUCCGAAAUGGGCUCAAGAAUCCCGGGCUAUCCUAUAAGGACUUUUUUCGUCUUGGCAAGACUUUUCUCUUGAACACAGGAGAAGUUUCUGUUCUAUUUACUGAGAUGCAAUAUUCUUUACAUAUGCAUGUGCAUUUACAACUUGCAAGAUCAUUGUCAUUGUUAUUCAUCUAAGGAUUUCUCACCAUUGCAAGACUUUUAUUUACUUUUGAUAUAAAUUUAUUUUUAAUACGCAUAAGAAAAACACUUUUUCAUACAUUCAUACUGUUUUUUCAAAUACAUAUAUGUUUGGGUUUGAAUUUGAAUUUAUCUUUAACAAUGACUUCUGCUCAAUUUAUUGAGAUGCAAUAUCUUUGUCAUAUGUAUGUGCAGAUAUAAUCUGCAAGACAACUGUUAUUGUCAUUUAUUCACUCUGGACUAUUAAUAUAGCACCUCAGUUACAGACAAAAUGGAUACAUGUGUUUUGCUUCUUUCCUCUAUAUAAAUCCUUGAUCUUUGUAUGUA